UACAGAGGGUGCGAGCGUUAAUCGGAAUUACUGGGCGUAAAGCGUGCGUAGACGGUUAUUUAAGUCGGGUGUGAAAGCCCCGGGCUCAACCUGGGAAUUGCAUUCGAGACUGAAUAGCUAGGGUACGGUAGAGGGAAGUGGAAUUUCCGGUGUAGCGGUGAAAUGCGUAGAUAUCGGAAGGAACAUCAGUGGCGAAAGCGGCCACCUGGACUGCACCUGACGCUGACACGCGAAAGCUAGGGGAGCGAACGGG
rnacentral:rRNA from 1 species